rnacentral:tRNA from 1 species
AAAAAUUUAGUUAAUAUAUAAUAUCGGCUUGUCAGAUCGGUGUAACAAAAUAGUUUUGUAGUUUUUA